GUCCCCGCUCCGCUGCUUACCUGCUGUGUGACUCUGGGAUUGUAGAGAAUUCCUGGACCACAACCUGGAGGAAUCUGCCAUUUAAGAGAGGAUGACAAGACAGACCAAAUGAUGUAAACAUAAAUAAACAUUCAAAGCAGGAUAAAUAUCGGGGCAGAUCUGA